rnacentral:rRNA from 1 species
AACGAACGCUGGCGGCAUGCCUAACACAUGCAAGUCGAACGAGACCUUCGGGUCUAGUGGCGCACGGGUGCGUAACGCGUGGGAACCUGCCCUUAGGUUCGGAAUAACUCCCCGAAAGGGGUGCUAAUACCGGAUAAUGUCUUCGGACCAAAGAUUUAUCGCCUUUGGAUGGGCCCGCGUUGGAUUAGCUAGUUGGUAGGGUAAAAGCCUACCAAGGCGACGAUCCAUAGCUGGUCUGAGAGGAUGAUCAGCCACACUGGGACUGAGACACGGCCCAGACUCGUACGGGAAGCAGCAGUGGGGAAUAUUGGACAAUGGGCGAAAGCCUGAUCCAGCAAUGCCGCGUGAGUGAUGAAGGCCUUAGGGUUGUAAAGCUCUUUUACCCGGGAUGAUAAUGACAGUACCGGGAGAAUAAGCUCCGGCUAACUCCGUG